AUUGAACGCUGGCGGCAUGCCUUACACAUGCAAGUCGAACGGCAGCACGGGAGCAAUCCUGGUGGCGAGUGGCGAACGGGAGAGUAAAGUAUCGGAACGUGCCCAGUCGUGGGGGAUAACGUAGCGAAAGUUACGCUACUACCGCAGACGAUCGAUGGAUGAAAGCGGGGGAUCGCAAGACCUCGCGCGAUUGGAUCGGCCGAUAUCAGGUUAGGUAGUUGGUGGGGUAAAGGCUCACCAAGCCGACGAUCUGUAGCUGGUCUGAGAGGACGACCAGCCACACUGGGACUGAGAAACGGCCCAGACUCCUACGGGAGGCAGCAGUGGGGAAUUUUGGACAAUGGGCGAAAGCCUGAUCCAGCCAUGCCGCGUGCAGGAUGAAGGCCUUCGGGUUGUAAACUGCUUUUGUACGGAACGAAAAGGUUUGGCCUAAUAAGCUGAGCUCAUGACGGUACCGUAAGAAUAAGCACCGGCUAACUACGUGCCAGCCGCCGCGGUAA
rnacentral:rRNA from 1 species